UCAGAAGGUGAGACAGUCCCACCAGCAGGCAGUUACCCUCUGCGGAGUAGAUUGAUCCCCGUCUCCAGAGCACAGAGAUGGGCAGGGGACAAUCUCCCACCCUUGGGGGCUCUGUGGAUUUCGCUGAGUGGAUUCCCCUGGCCGGAGCGCUGGAUAUGAGCACACCGGGAAAUGAUGCUAAAGAGGGGACUGGAGCUGGGUCUGCAGGCGGAGCCCCUGCCCCACAUAUGGGGCGUGAAUGGGCUGGAGAGGAGGGAGCACAGUGCCCUGGGUCGUAGUGUCUGCAGACUUUCCUGGGGAGCUUUGCCCAGAAUGGAAAUUCACUGCCAGGGCAUAACACAGAGGGAUUGUCGGUACUUUCUGAACUGCUCCGAAGAGAGCCUGGAUCACGUCCCCCUGGGAUCCCGCUGAUCUGCACAUGGAGGGUCACCCUGGCCUGGAUUCUCCCCUGGUCCGUGCAGGAUCCAGGCUGCACAGCUGGAGCUGGGUGAGACUGUGAUAGUUCGGGUCACUGGAGGUUCCAGAGAAAUGAGGGGAAAUAGUUUUGGGUUGAAGGAAACGUUUCAUUUCAGUUCUGGGCUUGGGUGUUGUGUUUUUUUAAAUUUUUUUUUAAACAAAAUAAAACGGAAGGAAAUUUCUGAAAGAAA